rnacentral:lncRNA from 1 species
AGUGUAAUGUAAUUAAAAGAACGGCUCAGAAACAUGUGCUUUAAAAUCUCAUUAACUACAUUUAUAUUUGUCACAGGAAAGUUUACCCAGGUAUCAGUAAGAAACAUGCUGAAAUGAUCUCAGAGUUAUUCUAGUUUAGUCUUAAUGAACAAAAAUCUCUUACCUUUUUGUUUUGUAUAAAAACUCAGUAGAAUUGAACAAUUUUCUUCUAUCCCCAUUUCACCUCAUCACAGUCAUGAUAUCUAUGGGUAUGUCUACAGGGCUCAUUGCAGACGCUCCAACCUGUUACACAUCUUCCUGGCUGAAGUUGGACACUGAGGUGCCCAGUGAAGCCUGGAACAGGAUGCAUCAUGCCACUGAAACAGGCUUUCCAGCUGCAUGUUCCCAGCUGUGACCAACUGAAGGGAGAGAAUUACCAAAUAAGAACAGGCUGAACAAGACAAUAAUCUCCUCCAAUCAAAGCCUGCCAGGCUUGAAGACAGUCCAGAGUCUCUGUAGCACUGUGUGAAUCAGUCCUGCCUCUGGCAUGCCUUGGCCCCAGGAUAUGCUGCACACACCCUUUUGCCCAGCUGGAGAGGACUUCACUGAAUGAAUGGCUUUUKGCAGCCUUCCAUAUGGCUUACCUUGACAUAUCCUUCUCUCAAGAGGGCUGAGAACGCUGUGCAGUCCUCUUCUAAGCUACUGCCAAAACUGCCUCUGCUAUUGAGCAGUGCCAUGGCCGUUCUGCUCAUCCCGCCAUUGCAUGCAUGUGUGAUAGUUCGGAUGACACGAAUGAUGGACGUGAUCUUCAUGUCUGACACAGAGAGGGAGCUGUUGAGGCUGCAAAUAGCAACAAGCAAAAAAAUCAAGAGUCAGGUGCAUCUGUACCAAAAUAACAGUCAUAUGGAUCGAUAG